UAGAAAGAGCAGAUUGCAUAAAAGGAUCACCAGCCAAGCAGGGUAUCAGAAGACGAUGUCUAUGUAACCAAGGUCUUAGGAUUAACUGCUGUUUGAUCACUAUGUGUCCUGCCAAGAAACUCAUCCUGUAAGAAGUGGGAAGAAUUCACAACCUCUCCAACACCGGGGACACCAUCAGCUUCUCUAGAAGAAGUUUGACAAAGGUCAGAAAGAUGAAGGGGAUGUUUCUGACUCUUCUGCUUAGUCUGGCUUGGUCAGCACAGGAAGCUCCAGCUGAGACAGAAGCCUCAGAGAUUACAGGAGACUGAAACACCAUUUACCGUGCUGUGGAUAACAAGGAGAAGAUUCAGCAAGGAGGCCCACUGAGGGCAUAUAUCUGUCACUUUGAAUGUAUCAACAACUGCGAACAACUCUCCAUUACUUUUUACGUCAAGGUUUACUAUAACUGCGUGUUACUCACAGUAGUGGCAAAUAGAGAAGAAGGAGAUGUUUAUGUCGUAAACUGAGCAGGUAGGCUACCAGAUAAUGGGAUCCUGGGACAACCAGAGUUCUAGAACCUUCUAGGGGUGAGCCAGAAGCAGUGAGAGGAGCAACAAAGGAACUGUAAUGAAUAUCUCGUAUCAAAUCUAUAAU